UACGGAGGGUGCAAGCGUUAUCCGGAUUCACUGGGUUUAAAGGGUGCGUAGGCGGGUCAGUAAGUCCGUGGUGAAAUCUCUGAGCUUAACUCAGAAACUGCCGUGGAUACUAUUUGCCUUGAAUAUUGUGGAGGUGAGCGGAAUAUGUCAUGUAGCGGUGAAAUGCUUAGAUAUGACAUAGAACACCAAUUGCGAAGGCAGCUUACAACAUAGUUAUUGACACUGAGGCACGAAAGCGUGGGGAUCAAACAGG
rnacentral:rRNA from 1 species